rnacentral:rRNA from 1 species
UACGGAGGAUUCAAGCGUUAUCCGGAUUUACUGGGUGUAAAGGGAGCGUAGACGGUGCAGCAAGUCUGAUGUGAAAGGUCGGGGCCCAACCCCGGGACUGCAUUGGAAACUGUUGAACUGGAGUACAGGAGAGGUAAGUGGAAUUCCUAGUGUAGCGGUGAAAUGCGUAGAGAUUAGGAAGAACACCAGUGGCGAAGGCGACUUACUGGACUGUAACUGACGCUGAGGCAUGAGAGCAUGGGGAGCAAACAGG